UAUAGCGGCGAGCGAACGGGGAGCAGCCCAGAGUCUUAAUCAGCAUUAGCAUCAGGAGAACGGUCUGGAAAGUCCGGCAGUAAAGGGUGAUAGCCCCGUAUCCGAAGGUGUUAGUGUUGUGAACUCGACGAGUAGGGCGGGACACGUGUUAUCCUGUCUGAAUAUGGGGGGACCAUCCUCCAAGGCUAAAUACUCCUGAUUGACCGAUAGUGAACCAGUACCGUGAGGGAAAGGCGAAAAGAACCCCGGCGAGGGGAGUGAAAUAGAACCUGAAACCGUGUACGUACAAGCAGUGGGAGCCCCAUCACUCAAGUGCCUCGGCAAUUGAGUGAUGGUGUAAAACCAUCACAAUAACAGCGCAGGAUUUGCCAACAAGAUUGGCUGAUUUUUUCAAGCCGCAGCGCAGUGGACAUCGAAGUCCAUGAGCAGCGGAAGUUAAAAAAUCGGGCAAGAUUGGCCGCAAAGCCAAGCGGGACAUUUGAGGAUGGGGUGACUGCGUACCUUUUGUAUAAUGGGUCAGCGACUUAUAUUCUGUAGCAAGGUUAACCGWAUAGGGGAGCCGUAGGGAAACCGAGUCUUAACUGGGCGAAUAAGUUGCAGGGUAUAGACCCGAAACCCGGUGAUCUAGCCAUGGGCAGGUUGAAGGUUGGGUAACACUAACUGGAGGACCGAACCGACUAAUGUUGAAAAAUUAGCGGAUGACUUGUGGCUGGGGGUGAAAGGCCAAUCAAACCGGGAGAUAGCUGGUUCUCCCCGAAAGCUAUUUAGGUAGCGCCUYGUGAACUCAUCUUCGGGGGUAGAGCACUGUUUCGACUAGGGGGUCAUCCCGACUUACCAACUCGAUGCAAACUACGAAUACCGAAGAAUGUUAUCACGGGAGACACACGGCGGGUGCUAACGUUCGUCGUGAAGAGGGAAACAACCCAGACCGCCAGCUAAGGUCCCAAAGUCAUAGUUAAGUGGGAAACGAAGUGGGAAGGCUCAGACAGCCAGGAUGUUGGCUUAGAAGCAGCCAUCAUUUAAAGAAAGCGUAAUAGCUCACUGGUCGAGUCGGCCUGCGCGGAAGAUGUAACGGGGCUAAACUAUGCACCGAAGCUGCGGCAGCGAUAUUUAGAUAUUGUUGGGUAGGGGAGCGUUCUGUAAGCCUGUGAAGGUGURCUGUGAGGYAUGCUGGAGGUAUCAGAAGUGCGAAUGCUGACAUAAGUAACGAUAAUGCGGGUGAAAAACCCGCACGCCGGAAGACCAAGGGUUCCUGUCCAACGUUAAUCGGGGCAGGGUGAGUCGACCCCUAAGGCGAGGCAGAAAUGCGUAGUCGAUGGGAAACGGGUUAAUAUUCCCGUACUGGUGAUAAUUGCGAUGGGGGGACGGAGAAGGUACUCAGGCGCUUGAGAGAACUCGGGUGAAGGAACUAGGCAAAAUGGUGCCGUAACUUCGGGAGAAGGCACGCUGGCAUUAGGUGAAGUGAUUUACUCAUGGAGCUGAAGCCAGUCGCAGAUACCAGCUGGCUGCAACUGUUUAUUAAAAACACAGCACUGUGCAAACACGAAAGUGGACGUAUACGGUGUGACGCCUGCCCGGUGCUGGAAGGUUAAUUGAUGGGGUUAUCCGUAAGGAGAAGCUCUUGAUCGAAGCCCCAGUAAACGGCGGCCGUAACUAUAACGGUCCUAAGGUAGCGAAAUUCCUUGUCGGGUAAGUUCCGACCUGCACGAAUGGCGUAAUGAUGGCCAGGCUGUCUCCACCCGAGACUCAGUGAAAUUGAACUCGCUGUGAAGAUGCAGUGUACCCGCGGCAAGACGGAAAGACCCCGUGAACCUUUACUAUAGCUUGACACUGAACAUUGAGCCUUGAUGUGUAGGAUAGGUGGGAGGC
rnacentral:rRNA from 1 species